CACGACACAAAAAGACAACUUGGUGAUUGUGUUGGAUUGUUAAUUUUCUAUUUUGAGCCAUUUAGAGAAAAAUUUUCGGUUUAAAGUGAAGUGAUUUGAAGUAUUCAACGGGUUUAAAUUAUUUGAACGAAGUUUCAGAUUGAUGCAGAUGCACUAAGUUUUUAUUAUACGCUAAACAGGCAACUCUCAAAAACAGGAAUAGCUCAAAUUUAUUGAACAGAUUAUCGACAUAUCGUUGUUUGCAUGUUACUCCAAGCCGUGCUCAAGCUAGAGAGACGCUCUGCCAAUAAACCACCGACCAUUCUUCAAGCCUAAAGCGACGUGUGCUCUAUCAACCGUUUUGAGGAGGAACUCUUGAACGUGGGGACAGCACUGCAGCGAGAGUCAAACAAAGUACAGAAACCUAUGCCACCACAGAUUUGAAAGACGUUCAAGUUAUCGAAUCUGCACAUCAUCUUUGUUGAUUUGGAAUGGAUCUGCAUACAGGCUAAGGCAACAUAACGCGAUUAUCGAGUACGACGUGUUAGAGGAGCUACAUGAGGAUAUUCAGACAAUGAGUAGAACUAAUAAAUUUGUCAAUACGCCUAGUCCAGUAGUAUUAGGGAGCAUGCAUAAAUGACGUAGUUUUUUUUGUACAUUUUGUUGACCUCCCCCCUUUCCUAUCGUAGCAUUUCGUCACAAAACAGCGCCCCCAUCCCCCCCUUUCCCCUUCGAAAUCUACGUCAUUUUUUAAUGUUCCCUUAUCAGAUUGAUCAGAUCAGACUCAAGUAGCAUAUGUAAAUAACGAAAAAAAAAUUUUGAAGAUCAGAAAAACAGUAGAAGUAAGAUUAUAAAUUUUGCUCUUGAAGGCUUCUUAGAAAAUUUCGCUUGUCCUCUAGUUGGAUUAGUUAUAAUAUCAAACAAUACCUGCAAAUCGUAGAAGAUAUAUUUCAGGGCAUGUAUUGAAUAGCUAUAAUUUAUUUAUACUGUAGAUGAAUAUUGUCAAUAGAUUUGUUUCAAAUUCAACGAUUCACGAGUCUUGCAUUUUUUGUAGAUAUUUCCACUUUUGUUAUAGUUACCAUACAGUGCAAAUAAAAUUAGAUGUUAGAGUUGUCAGCCCCCCAAAAUGAUAAAAAAAUUCUUCGUAAGGAAAUCUAUUCUAUAUUUCGAAAAUAAUUUUUCAUAUCAAAAAUUUUGUACACUUCGAUCAGUAUUUCUCGUAUCAAAAUUUUUGUACUCGCAUUAAACUGUAUUGUUUGAACAAAAUUCAGACUAGAUGGACAAAAAUUUAACAUAAAUAUUCGUCUGAAUUCUGCUCAAAUGCUACAGUUUAAUCCGAGAACAAAAAAAAAUGAUAAGAACAAUGCUGAUCAAGGUGUAGAAUAGAUUUGCUUACGGAGAAAUUGUCGUUUUUACUAUUUUAGAGGUCACCUCGACCUGGUUGGAUCGGUGGUUUUCAACCCACCAUUAAAUUUGGUUCAGACAACAAGCACAUAGUCAAAACAACCAGUUUUCAUGUUCGCAUCUGAAAAUGACUAUUCUCUUGUUAUACGAACAAUAAGAAGGAUGGUUCAUAAUGAACUAGAAAUGGUCAUUGUGACAGCUUCAUAGUAAAAAUAAAACAUGGUCAUUUGAGCCAUACAUGGUCGAUUCUACCAUUUGCUUUUUCAACUUGGUUCUGUUGUAAUAACUAGAAAAUUGUUAUCUUGACCAUAUAGAAUAGUCGGUUGAAAACCACCGAUCAAAUCUGCUCAUGCUGACCCCUAAAAUAGUAAAAAUUACCAUGUUUUUUUUCUGUGUGUAGGGACCAAUUAUAGAAGACAAAAUGUUUUAGGGAACGUGAGUGAAACUAGGCUGGUGACUGAAUUGAUUCACGUACGAGUCGAAUAGUUUACUCAGACGAGCUACUCGUCUAAAAUCCCAUGGUAGAGUCUGAACUGAUCAUUUAGGUAAAUGUGGAAAUAUGCUCCAAAAUAGAUUCAGGGUUCGGAUAUUUA